rnacentral:rRNA from 1 species
GACGAACCGUGCGAACGUUGUUCGGAAUCACUGGGCUUAAAGGGCGCGUAGGCGGCCGACCAAGUCCGGGGUGAAAGCCCCCAGCUCAACUGGGGAAGUGCCCCGGAUACUGGCCGGCUCGAGGGAGGUAGGGGCGGAUGGAACUUCCGGUGGAGCGGUGAAAUGCGUUGAUAUCGGAAGGAACGCCGGUGGCGAAAGCGAUCCGCUGGCCCUCUACUGACGCUGAGGCGCGAAAGCCAGGGGAGCAAACGGG